CUCGUAGGCGGUUCGUCGCGUCCGGUGUGAAAGUCCAUCGCUUAACGGUGGAUCCGCGCCGGGUACGGGCGGGCUUGAGUGCGGUAGGGGAGACUGGAAUUCCCGGUGUAACGGUGGAAUGUGUAGAUAUCGGGAAGAACACCAAUGGCGAAGGCAGGUUUCUGGGCCGUUACUGACGCUGAGGAGCGAAAGCGUGGGGAGCGAACA
rnacentral:rRNA from 1 species